rnacentral:rRNA from 4 species
GCACCAGAAGUAGAUAGCUUAACCUUCGGGAGGGCGUUUACCACGGUGUGAUUCAUGACUGGGGUGAAGUCGUAACAAGGUAACCCUAGGGGAACCUGGGGUUGGAUCACCUCCUUA